AAAACAGUUCACGUGUGUUUUCAAGCAUCUCCUGAGCCAUAGGUCCCCUUUGGAACGCAGGUUAGAAUCUCAUGGCCCACUUCUUUCAUUGUGGAGAGCACUGUGGAGAAAGUUCUGAGUGACCGACACAGAGCAGGUUUGAGAAUGACUAUGAAGAAAAGCACAGCUAACACGAGGAGAGCCAUGGAUGAGACGAUCGAAGCAUCUUCUUCUGGGCUUUGGUGACUUAAAUUGCUUAGUUCUGAUCACUGUGUGUUGGGAAGUGGCAAAUGAGUUUCCAGGCCUCCAGGUGACCAAAUCAGUGUCCGAGGCCAGGCCAGGAGUGCCCUAUUUUUAGAAGAGAUGGUUCAUUCAUUUCUACGUGACACAGAAGCGACUCAGACAAGCAAACCAAAUGAUGAUAGAUGGAAGUGCUUGUUUUGGACACUGUUUCUGUCCCUUGCAUGACCAUGUUAAUUUGUAACAUUAAAAUUCCCUUUAAACAA